rnacentral:rRNA from 1 species
CGAUAUUUCCGCCGCCGACCCUCAACCGAGGGUGUCGGACGUCGCGACCCGUUCGCCCAGGUCGAUACUCAGGGACGCGUUUCAAGUUCGCCGGCGCGGUCGUCUCGGCGGCCGCGUCACGAUGGCGCGUUUCCGCUGUUCUCGACGCGGACGGUAGCUUUGCGCGCGGGUAAUCGACGCGGUCCUUUGUCCGGCGUCUCCGUACGUCGGACGGCGCUCGCGUCGACGCCGGUCAGCGACGAAUCUUCGGGCCUCUUUCCGACCCGUCUUGAAACACGGACCAAGGAGUCUAGCGUGCGCGCGAGUCGCGGGGUAUCCGAGUCGUCGUAGUCGUUUCGGCGGCGAACGCGACUCGUCACGAUACGAAACCCGUGUACGUACGUUGUGCGAAGGCGUAAUGAAAGUGAAAGGCGACGCUUCGCGCGUCGCCGGGGGAAGACGGUGUUCCGUGUACCACGUUUCGCGGUCAUACGUGUACCGCGGCCGGACACCCGCAUUCCCAGGGCGUCCCGCUCGUACGUCGGCCGUCGGGUCUCGGCUCGGCGGUCGGCGAACUGGGGCGCACCUACAGCGUGCACGCUGGUACCCGAAAGAUGGUGAACUAUGCCCGGCCAGGAUGA